CUAAGACUGGAUAGGAGACAAGAAGGCAUCUUCUUGUUUUUAAAAGACCUAGCAAUAGGUAUGCUUAGGUAGGAGCUUGCGUCACAUUAGUUAGUUGGUGGGGUAAAGGCCUACCAAGACUAUGAUGUGUAGCCGGGCUGAGAGGUUGAACGGCCACAUUGGGACUGAGACGCGGCCCAAACUCCUACGGGAGGCAGCAGUAGGGAAUUUUCGGCAAUGGAGGAAACUCUGACCGAGCAACGCCGCGUGAACGAUGAAGUAUUUCGGUACGUAAAGUUCUUUUAUUAGGGAAGAAUAAAUGAUGGAAAAAUCAUUCUGACGGUACCUAAUGAAUAAGCCCCGGCUAACUAUGUGCCAGCAGCCGCGGUAAUACAUAGGGGGCAAGCGUUAUCCGGAAUUAUUGGGCGUAAAGGGUGCGUAGGCGGUUAAAUAAGUUUGUGGUCUAAGUGCAAUGCUCAACAUUGUGAUGCCAUAAAAACUGUUUAGCUAGAGUAAGAUAGAGGCAAGUGGAAUUCCAUGUGUAGUGGUAAAAUGCGUAAAUAUAUGGAGGAACACCAGUAGCGAAGGCGGCUUGCUGGGUCUUUACUGACGCUGAGGCACGAAAGCGUGGGGAGCAAACAGGAUUAGAUACCCUGGUAGUCCACGCCGUAAACGAUGAGUACUAAACGUUGGGUAAAACCAGUGUUGAAGUUAACACAUUAAGUACUCCGCCUGAGUAGUACGUACGCAAGUAUGAAACUUAAAGGAAUUGACGGGACUCCGCACAAGCGGUGGAUCAUGUUGUUUAAUUCGAAGGUACCCGAAAAACCUCACCAGGUCUUGACAUGCUUCUGCAAAGCUGUAGAAACACAGUGGAGGUUAUCAGUUGCACAGGUGGUGCAUGGUUGUCGUCAGCUCGUGUCGUGAGAUGUUGGGUUAAGUCCCGCAACGAGCGCAACCCUUAUUGUUAGUUACCAGCACGUAAUGGUGGGGACUUUAGCAAGACUGCCAGUGAUAAAUUGGAGGAAGGUGGGGACGACGUCAAAUCAUCAUGCCCCUUAUGACCUGGGCUACAAACGUGAUACAAUGGCUGUUACAAAGGGUAGCUGAAGCGCAAGUUUUUGGCGAAUCUCAAAAAAACAGUCUCAGUUCGGAUUGAAGUCUGCAACUCGACUUCAUGGAGUUGGAAUCGCUAGUAAUCGCGAAUCAGCAUGUCGCGGUGAAUACGUUCUCGGGGUUUGUACACACCGCCCGUCA
rnacentral:rRNA from 1 species